rnacentral:rRNA from 1 species
ACCUACGGGGCGCAGCAGUGGGGAAUAUUGCACAAUGGGGGAAACCCUGAUGCAGCGACGCCGCGUGAGUGAGGAAGUAUUUCGGUAUGUAAAGCUCUAUCAGCAGGGAAGAAAAUGACGGUACCUGACUAAGAAGCCCCGGCUAACUACGUGCCAGCAGCCGCGGUAAUACGUAGGGGGCAAGCGUUAUCCGGAUUUACUGGGUGUAAAGGGCGCGCAGGCGGUUUAAUAAGUCAGUGGUGAAAACUGAGGGCUCAACCCUCAGCCUGCCACUGUUACUGUUAGACUUGAGUAUGGAAGAGGAG